rnacentral:snRNA from 1 species
AUGCCCUGGUUUCUCUUCAUAACAAAUAAAUCUUUCACCUUUUAAUAAAGAUUUCCAUGGAGAGGAACAUUUAUGAGUUUAUAACUGAAUUUUUUGAUGUCCUGCUUAGGAAGGGCU